rnacentral:tRNA from 1 species
CCGUCGAUAGCUCAGUUGGCAAAGCGGUGGACUGUAGUGGUGUUGAGACAGAAAUCCAUAGGUCGCUGGUUCGACUCCGGCUCGACGGA